AUUAAGCUCAAAUAAACGUCGUAUGGAUUAACCCUGCAUUGUCUGAAACUGAAGAGAUCCAACUUAUAGCUGGACGAGCCAGGGAACGGCCAAUCCUACCACGAUGGCUGCCAAGUCCUCUCAGGCGCACAAACAGAAGAAAGAGACACAUCAACAAUCAAAGCGUCGGCGAGAUGUGGAGCUCCUGGAACAAAUCCAGUGUGACAGUGGAGGGAGUGUGUCACAGAAGCAGUACGCAGAAGUAUUACGAAAGCUGCGCAAGAAGACUGAAGCUUUGGAGCAGUGCCAGCUGCUCAAUGUGCAGCUGCAGAAGGCACUUUGUGCAAAUAUAAAAAAAGCAGGCAAGUUUGUUAUUUAGCUUUUAUACUGAUUACUUACUACACGGCACAUUAAAGCGAUUUUUUUAUAGA